GAUGAACGCUGGCGGCGUGCCUAAUACAUGCAAGUCGAGCGAACAGACGAGGAGCUUGCUCCUUUGACGUUGGCGGCGGACGGGUGAGUAACACGUGGGUAACCUACCUAUAAGACUGGGAUAACUUCGGGAAACCGGAGCUAAUACCGGAUAAUAUUUCGAACCGCAUGGUUCGAUAGUGAAAGAUGGCUCUGCUAUCACUUAUAGAUGGACCUGCGCCGUAUUAGCUAGUUGGUAAGGUAACGGCUUACCAAGGCAACGAUACGUAGCCGACCUGAGAGGGUGAUCGGCCACACUGGAACUGAGACACGGUCCAGACUCCUACGGGAGGCAGCAGUAGGGAAUCUUCCGCAAUGGGCGAAAGCCUGACGGAGCAACGCCGCGUGAGUGAUGAAGGUCUUCGGAUCGUAAAACUCUGUUAUUAGGGAAGAACAAACGUGUAAGCAACUGUGCACGUCUUGACGGUACCUAAUCAGAAAGCCACGGCUAACUACGUG
rnacentral:rRNA from 1 species